GAUGAACGCUGGCGGCGUGCUUAAUACAUGCAAGUCGAGCGAACAGACGCGGCGCUUGCUCGUCUGACGUUAGCGGCGGACGUGUGAGUAACACGUGGAUAACCUACCUAUAAGUCUGGGAUAACUUCGGGAAACCGGAGCUAAUACCGGAUAAUAUAUUGAACCGCAUGGUUCAAUAGUGAAAGACGGUGUUGCUGUCACUUAUAGAUGGAUCCGCGCCGCAUUAGCUAGUUGGUAAGGUAACGGCUUACCAAGGCAACGAUGCGUAGCCGACCUGAGAGGGUGAUCGGCCACACUGGAACUGAGACACGGUCCAGACUCCUACGGGAGGCAGCAGUAGGGAAUCUUCCGCAAUGGGCGAAAGCCUGACGGAGCAACGCCGCGUGAGUGAUGAAGGUCUUCGGAUCGUAAAACUCUGUUAUUAGGGAAGAACCAAUGUGGAAGUAACUAUGGAGGUCUUGACGGUACCUAAUCAGAAAGCAACGGCUAACUACGUG
rnacentral:rRNA from 1 species